rnacentral:rRNA from 1 species
UACGUAGGUGGCGAGCGUUGUCCGGAUUUACUGGGCGUAAAGGGAGCGUAGGCGGACUUUUAAGUGAGAUGUGAAAUACUCGGGCUCAACUUGAGUGCUGCAUUUCAAACUGGAAGUCUAGAGUGCAGGAGAGGAGAAUGGAAUUCCUAGUGUAGCGGUGAAAUGCGUAGAGAUUAGGAAGAACACCAGUGGCGAAGGCAGCUCACUGGACUGCAACUGACACUGAGGCUCGAAAGUGUGGGUAUCAAACAGG